CUACGUGCCAGCAGCCGCGGUAAUACGUAGGUGGCAAGCGUUGUCCGGAAUUAUUGGGCGUAAAGCGAGCGCAGGCGGUUAGAUAAGUCUGAAGUGAAAGGCAGUGGCUCAACCAUUGUAGGCUUUGGAAACUGUUUAACUUGAGUGCAGAAGGGGAGAGUGGAAUUCCAUGUGUAGCGGUGAAAUGCGUAGAUAUAUGGAGGAACACCGGUGGCGAAAGCGGCUCUCUGGUCUGUAACUGACGCUGAGGCUCGAAAGCGUGGGGAGCGAACAGGAUUAGAUACCCUGGUAGUCCACGCCGUAAACGAUGAGUGCUAGGUGUUAGGUCCUUUCCGGGACUUAGUGCCGCAGCUAACGCAUUAAGCACUCCGCCUGGGGAGUACGACCGCAAGGUUGAAACUCAAAGGAAUUGACGGGGGCCCGCACAAGCGGUGGAGCAUGUGGUUUAAUUCGAAGCAACGCGAAGAACCUUACCAGGUCUUGACAUCCCGAUGCCCGCUCUAGAGAUAG
rnacentral:rRNA from 1 species